rnacentral:lncRNA from 1 species
CCCCCACCUCGGGGCUCGCACGCGCCCUCCCCGCCCUGCCGCCUCCCUCCCCGCCGGCCACCCCUGGCCAUUCCGGGGCUCCCCGCCCGGGCAGGAGUUUCCGCGCGCCUGGCACCCCCGCCCACCCCCGGGCCAUUUACCGAUGUGGUUGUCCUCGAUGUGCUCGAUGAGGUCGGCCAGGGUGGGGAAGUGGAGUCCGCAGCCCCCGAAUCGGCAGGCACUGCAGAAAGGACAGUGCAUUGGUUAAGGCUAGAAGGAGCGGAAACAACGGCAAGGGACAUAGUGACUCUUCAUUUAAAAAGGAAGCGAUUUCAUCCUGUGAGCAUUUAAAGCAUAAUGUUGACGAUGGAGUUUUGCCAUUUGCCCAGGCUGGACUCGCAGUCCUGGACUCAACCACCUUGGCCUCCCAAAGUGCUGGGAUUACAGGGGUUCCUGUUGAGAUUAAAGUAAAUGCAUUUACCAGCAUACAUGUCAUGGAAGACUGACUCUGCACCAUGCUCUGUGACAAAAGGCUUCAAGAUUAAACCGGUUUGGGAAAGCGGAGAGAGAGCUGCAGGAGAGGCGGUGGUGAAGGAAGCAGUGCAGGGCCAUGCGUGGCCCCCGACGUGGGCAUUCGGCUGGAGCUCUUGAUUCUAGGUCCCAGCCUGAGUACACGAGGAUUCCUCUGGCCUGUUAGCUACAACUUCCUCUUCUGGAGGUCUUACUUGUCAUCUAUGUCUUGGUCGUCUGCAUAUAUUUUCUAGAAAUUUCCUCAAGGCCUUCUACCGUGAAGGUGAGCCGUGAAGUCUAUUGCCCAGGGAUUGGGGACGUUUGUAUUAAAGAAGGUUUUGGAGUACAGAAGCAGGAAGAUGUGUUGUGGAGAUGCUGUUGGCAGAAACAACUGGCCUUGACUAAACAAACCAAGAGUUCCUACAGGAGCAGAGGCAACCGGGUGAAGGCUGACGCCCUUGCACAGGCUUGGGCAGCUCUUCUCCACAUGUCCACGUGGCUCACUUCCUUACCUACUUCAGGGCUCUGCUCACACGUCACCUCCUCAAGAAGGCCUUCCCCAACUACCCUGUCCUCACUCCCACCCCUUACCCCUGCAUUCCCUGUCCCUCUCACUCUGCUGUGGUUUAUCCUACCUGACAUAGAACAGGUUUAUCUCCCUGUUGUCUAGCAGGCUUUUAUCCAGUUCUGCUUUGCCGGACUGUAUUAAGUAAGUCUCAGUUCCUGGGCUUUAUCACUCAGCAUGGGUGGAACACACGAAAAUGGGAUUUUCCUGUUCCCACUACAGCACUUUUCUUGUGGAUACCACAUCUCCCCAUGUGCAAUAUUCUAUUCCCAUCUCACUCUUACCUUGUGCAGAGCUAUUUUCUCAGAGCAUGAGUCUCUGAACGGAAAAUCUACUGCUUUGUGCCCUGCCUGAGGAUAAGCUUCACCAGAGCAGUCUAUAUUGUUGUUGCUGUUGUUGUUGUUUAUUGCUGUAUUCCUAGCUUCUAGAACAGUGCCUGGCAUGGCAAUCAGUGGCAUGAGUAAAUUUAUGAGUAUAUAUAAUGGACAAGUUUGGGAGAAGAUAAUUAGUUUGGAAACGGGAGAGUUUAGUGGGAGAGACAGGGCCCUGACUACCUCAAAAAGCAGCAGUACUAUAAGAGGACAGAGUUUCUAUUUUUCUGCCUGGUCUAGGACUUGUACUGGUCUUUCAACUUGAAUUCAUGCAGCAAGACAGUGGUGGUGAAAAGAUAAAGGCAUUUCUACCUGGGUAGACAGUUUCUUUUUCUGGAGACAAGAAUUGAGAAGGCCUACCAGAUUCUGGCAGUGAGUUGACUGUACUUGUUUUUAGCAUUGUGAAUUUUUGCCUUCAUAUGAAUUUAAGUAGGGAGUUUAGCAAUGCUGUUUCAGGGUUUCCAUCCAGAUUUUCCGUUUCAAAUUGGACAUCUAUUUGCACCUUUAAUUCGCGUAACAAAUACUUCACAGAGAAUACAAAGUUGAAUUAUGGGCAGCUCAAUUCAUCCCCCCAAAGGCAGACAAGAGAUGGCAGGUCCAAGUUAUGCCUAUAUUACACAGUAGAGAUUAUUUUAAGUGUUUUGUUAUUGCUUCCAAGUUCACACAAAUGCUUCUUACUAAUUUAUAUUGGUCACAUUCACUAUUCUUAUUUGGUACUCAUUAGUGACUUUGUACUCUCUUAAAGAAAAUAAACCUCCAGAUUAACUAAAAC